UUUUUGCUUCUGUUUGUCUGCACGCUCCUUCAUGUCAUAGAACUCUAGCAAUGGAUGAGAAAUCUGCCAGCACCAGACACAUCAAAAUUGGGCACAUAGAUGGAAAAUUUUGCAAUUUUUCAUGAAUUUAUAGGGUUUCCAGAAUCUAGUUGAGGCAAAGCUCAUUUGGCUAUAGAGUAAAUGUAAGACUUGUUACAACAGAAAUUUAAGUGGCCAGUUCAAUGUCCUUUGGCUAUAUUUGACCUACCUUUAAAACCUAGCCCAUUUCAUAUCAGCCUCUUCUGUGCCUGGGCUUGAAAUGUCUAAAGCUGCCUUCGUGUCUGGGAUUACACCAUGUAGGUCAGUAUAAAGAGGGCAGUCACUCCUCCAUUUCUCCCAGCGUGUCCAGUUCAGCAGAUUUCUAAAGCUGUUAAGCAGCCUCUCUUUUUGACCGUCCUAAACUUUGUGAAAAUAAAUACCCCACACCCAGAUAACCAUUAAUAGAAGUAAUGUAGUUUUUUAGGCUUUUGGAAUAUGUCUUCUCUUUUGUAUUUAUGAUGGUGUUUGGAAUUUUUCACUAGUGUAUUUUUAGACUGAAGUGGGUGCAUUAGGAUAAAACUUUCCCUUGCUGAGCCUGAAGGCAAGCAAGAGGGAAGAAAUUGACCUGUAUUGUAUCAUUGGGGAGGCGACUACUUCUUGUGGUGGUAGGGGGUGGGGGGAAUGGGGCAUUGUAGAUUAUGUGGGGGUACAAUAGAAUUCUGGCCUGAGGCUCCCCAAGUCUUAUUACCUUGUAUGAAAAAUCCCCAUAUUAGCCUCACUUAAUCUCAAUAGAAGCCUGCUGUUUACCCUCAGGGAACAAGUAGUUUUCAAAAUUGAGCUCCUCCAAGGUCAUUGGCCAAUGCUGUGUGCAGGCAUUGGUCAUCUUUGUAAACUCAUGGCAUUAUUUCCUCAUAUGCAUUAUGAUACUAAGAAAUUCAACCCCAACCUGUAUGAAAAGCACAGCCCAGGGCCCUAAUUGAGGCUAGCAUGAAUGCCUUUGAGGGGCCAGGGGGCCAUAGGAGGCCCAUGCAAUUUAACUGAAGCUCAGGUGCCACGUUGGAUUUUUAUUCUUAUUAGGCCGCAACCUUUCUGAAUGAGUUUAGGGCAGGGGCUGCUGAUCCGGCUGUGGAUUCAGGGAGCUCUAAAAUGAAUCUCUACCGUUCCUUUAAAGGUCUUUCUGGUUCCUCCCAGUGUUGUCAUUGCUGAGGUCGAUCUCGUAGUUGUUCAGUUGUGCUCUUUUUGCUGUCUUGUGAGUCUUAGCCAGUGAUCCAGCUGCCCAAGGACAGGGCCUCCAGAGGGCCUAGCGCCCUCCUGGUACCAAGCGUGUGCUCCUGGCCUGUGUGACAGUGUCUUUCCCGAAGCAGUGAAAUGAGAAAUUCUGCAAGUGGCCACCCGGAAGAUCAGUCUGUAGCUCUUGGGCCUGGAUUUCUACUAUGUUAGUGAGUGUAGGAAUAUACUGUGUCUUUAAUGGAUGAAAAUUCAAUGUAUGCUGUGAAUUUGUUGGUUUGAAACAUUGAAAUUUUUCAUUAGACAAUGUUUACAUACCUCACCUGAAGAACCUUUGAGAGUGUAUAUAUAAAAUUUUAAAAUAUAUUAAGUUGCUUUAAAACAAUAUGUAUAGCUAUAAAAGUUGGAGUUAUUUUAACUUUGAAUAUGUACCAAGUCUCUUAAAUAUUGAAAUCUUGUAGACUUCUUGUGCUUCUGUGUUUUGCUUUCCUAUCAGGCCAUGUAGGAAACUGUGUUCUUGUUAUUGGUAGAGGGGCCCUCACUGAAAUCCAAGCUUGGAAGGAUGUCCUGUGUUGUUUCAGAUUCUCUUGUUUGGUUUUGAAGGAUGCGGUGUGGAGCCAGAGGAUGUGUGGGAGGGGUUUCUCUAACACUGACUUCUAUUCCAUGAGCUUUUUCAAGGCGCUUAUUUUAUGGCAGCGUAUUAAACUUCUUUGAUAUUCAA
rnacentral:lncRNA from 1 species